UGGCUCUGUCUGCCUUGUACAGUAUGUGAGCAACUAGAGAUACCAGACUGACAGAUCUAAUGCUGGGUAUUGUGAUUACACUUAUGUUAAAUGGUUCAUUUGUAGCCAGUAAACAUUCUUCUUACACAGUCAUAAGUUUAUAGCAACAUGGUUAUUCAUGCGUGCACAUUAAAGUUUUAUAUACUAAUCCACGUAAUUAGGAAAGUGUUUCCCCUUACUUUUUAGUGUAACCAGAAUGCUAAUUUUCAGCAUAAAUUAGAAAAAUUGUUACAAAUACAUUUUUUGUAACAAUUUAUUGGAGUGAUUUAAUGCCUGCAAAGUAGUGGACUACUAAUUAUCUGUGAGAUAGUGCUCUAUUUUGCUAACUUAAAAGUUCCCUAUAUCUGUAGUUGUUGAAAAACCAUUACUAAUGAGAGCUGCAAAUCCCCAUUUGAUUCAACAAUUAUUCCUCUUUAUCUUUGAGAGACCAUUUUAAAGGUCCUAGAUUAACUGUAUGAUAGCAUACCAUACUUUGAUCGGUUGCCAGUCCAGUACAUUAGGCAAGAGGGAUGGUAUCUACAGUUGUGUCCCUGAGUGUUGUAUAUUACUGUUGGUGUCCCUCAUGAUCGAUGGACCUAUCAGAAUCUGUGGUGUUGCGAUGUCGUGCUCUAUGUUUGAUGGCUUCCUCCUCAGUGUUUGUAUGUGUGAAACCUCAGCAGCCCCACCAAUGUCUUCAGUCCCCAUCAACAGAAGGAGAGGGAGGUAUUAAGGAAUGAUUUCAAUAAUAGCCCAAAAGGCAAUACCUCAUCCUUAUUCUGAACCACUUUUAUAAACAUUAUGGGCUUGUUUCCCGGACACUAGUCCUGAACUAAAAACCUAUUCCAAUGGCAAAUUUUUAUUGAGCAAGCAUUUGAGGCUAAAUCUUUGUCCGGGAAACCAGCCCUAUUUGAAAGAUAAACGUUACAUAGGUAUUUGACACACAUUUAGUGGAAAACCUACAGUAAGUAUAAUGGUCUGCAUUGACACUGUUCUCUUUUUCCUAGGACUUUAUACAGAGUUAUGUUUUCAUACUUGUCUAUAUUGACAGCUAAUGCUGAGAAGUCUCAAGGUAACUACGGAUACCACAGAGAGCACGACCCCGCCUGUCCGAGCAGCAUCCCCCAUGGUGCGUCCCGUGUGUCCCCCAGGCACCAUGCGGCCCAUCAGCCCCACCAGGGGCCCCAGGGACCUCCGAGACAACAAAAAGAAAAAAGGACUGCUCUCCAAGGGGAAGAAACUGCUCAAGAGACUCUCUCCGGUUAAAUAAACUGUUCCCAGCUGAGCCCAGAACAGAUACUGGGCCCAGUACUGCACAUCACAUACAGCACAUGCAAUCAAAUCAGCUGAUCGUACGCACACAACUACAAUUGCAACAUAUGUGUGUAUGUAUUACAGGACAAUAUAUGUGAGCCUAAUCUAAUAUUUUCAGUGAUACAUGUUCUAAUGAUUAAUACACAUACUUACAUGUACUUCGUGCCAAAUUCAAUGAGACCUUUGCUCACACAUACUGUAUAACUGUGAUGUAUUUGAGGUAGAGGGAAAAAAGGAGUACAAACUAGGAUUUUCAUGACAUGGAUUUUAAUUUCCACUGUUAUCUUUAAUCAAAUGGAGAUCAGGACGAUGCUGCUAAACCAUUUGUGUGCAUUUGUUUCAAGCAGGGUAACAACAGAGUAGUCUAUUCUUUUUUGUUACAAAUCUAACAUUUCCAGAUGGUUUCCAUAGCAAUUGUGCAAUUAUAAGGUCUCUAACAGACAUGACGUGGCAAAAAACAUCAAUGUUGUGACAGUGAGAUGUUGAUACUAGGAGAGAGACCAUACUCCUGGAACACUGGAGCAACAACUCAACUAUUGAUGGCAUUCUGUCAGUAAUGCUGGCUGCUAAUACAGAGGCUUUAUUCAGUGCAAUAUAUCACAGACAGGAUGGUGACAAAGGGUUGAAUCACUCACAGAACCUAGAAGUCUAUAGGGUAGUUGGACACAGGGCAUUACAGACAGGAGAAGGAGCUGCAUUGGAUAAUACAUUUGAACCAUCUCAGUGGCCUUUAUGAAAGCAAUUCUAGCAUGACUUUCCUCAUUUUCUAUGGUUGAACAAGGUUGUUUUUAGACUUACACAAGUCUUUGCCAAGAACCCC
rnacentral:lncRNA from 1 species